CAUGUUGGACUGGAUGGCUGUGAACAGAGGCUAAAAGCACAAUCUGUUGUUAGAGUGGCAAGUAGAGACGUGGCAGGUGCCUGUCUUUGAAGGUCUGCUGCUUGUUUGGGGUCUGUUGUGAUUCUGGAGCUAUUGAAACACGACAGCAGGUGACCCUCGUUCACCCACGUCUGCUCACAGUGUCUGCAGAGCAGGAGUUUGGACUGACUGCAUGGGCGUUCACCAGCUCGGGCCUCCUGCUGGCCUGGCACCGAGGGGCGGUCAGCGGCCAGCAUGAGAGCUUGUCCGGUCCCGACUUUCCACUCACCUCUUUGCUAAGAUGUUGGCUCAAGUUAAUUUGGCCAGGAUGUAUUUUAAUUUAUUAUUUUUGAAAUCAAAUGUGAGUUAGUAGAAGUCAGUUUUGUGAUAUUU
rnacentral:lncRNA from 1 species